rnacentral:rRNA from 1 species
UACGGAGGGUGCAAGCGUUAUCCGGAUUCACUGGGUUUAAAGGGUGCGUAGGCGGGUAAGUAAGUCAGUGGUGAAAUCUCCGGGCUUAACUCGGAACUGCCGUUGAUACUAUUUAUCUUGAAUAUCAUGGAGGUAAGCGGAAUAUGUCAUGUAGCGGUGAAAUGCUUAGAUAUGACAUAGAACACCGAUAGCGAAGGCAGCUUACUACAUGUUAAUUGACGCUGAGGCACGAAAGCGUGGGGAGCAAACAGG